GUCCACAGUAGACAUGUCCCACUAUAAUGCCAAGCUGCAAAGUCGAAAUUGGCAUAAAUCGUGAAAAAUGUAUGAAGACGUCAAUUCGCUUUUUGCUCUUCAUUUAAGCGUAGGUCAGGCACACGUUUAGGAGUAUGGUUAAUGUUAGCGUCGGUUUGGAAAUCCGAUUUUUAAAGAAGAUAAAAUUGUAGAACUUCCGGGUUUUGCAGCUUGGCCAUAUAGUGACAGCCCCUCAGACAGGCCAGCGGUGUGUUCUCCGUUUCUCUCGUCUCACUGAGUUGUGUUCACAGCUAAUGCACGGACACGGGACGGACCGCCCGUCUGCCAGUGGGUUGACGAUCUGCGUUACUUUGUUGUCCCUGCUACUUUUUACAGCUUGGUCUGUCUUUCUCUGAUCGUGUGCCUGCCCUGCCAUGGCUGUCCUGCUAAGGCGUGUGGCUCUACAGUUGUCCCUGAGACAGACCAGGAUCCCCCCCCAGAAGGCCCUGCUGCUAGCCACUCGUCUAGCCUGAGUAGCAUAGCCCCCCCAUCCCUCCCUACAUCCCUCCCUCCUAGACAGGGUGUGUCAGUCGGGCGUGUCUUCUCUCUCUCUCCUCCAAUCAGCAGACAGGAGCAGCCAAUCAGAAGCAGCCAUGUCGGGGUUCAAUCUGCUACACCUGAUCACCAAUGCCAAGCCUGUUACUCUGAAGCCAUGUGGGCUCCCUUCAGGUUGAGCUGGGCGCUGUGUGGUGUGGUGUGGUGUGCCUGUCUGCUCUGCUCUGCCCUCUUCUGGUUUUUAAAUCUCCUUGAGAUGUGUGAUGUUUUUAUGAAGGGUGUGUGUGAUGUUAUGAAGGGUGUGUGUGAUGUUAUGAAGGGUGUGUGUGAUGUUAUGAAGGGUGUGUGUGAUUUUGUUGUUGUCUCCUGCCGAAAAAACACUCCCCACCUACAUUAGUAUUUAUUAAGUUAAUAUUUGAUCAUUAUGGUAAUUAUUGAAGCAUUGAAGUCCUUUUUCAUAGGAUGUUUACAGCUGGCAGGUUUCUUUGCCCUGUAUAAUAAAUACAUAAUAUUAAAAUAUCGAGAUACAAAGUUAUUUAUUUGAAAGCUUGGUGAUUGUGGUGUUUUUACUGCAGUUUGUCAAUAACAACCCUUCUCACUUUCUGCUCAGCUACAA